ACUCCUACGGGAGUCAGCAGUAGGGAAUCUUCCACAAUGGGCGCAAGCCUGAUGGAGCAACACCGCGUGAGUGAAGAAGGGUUUCGGCUCGUAAAGCUCUGUUGUUAAAGAAGAACACGUAUGAGAGUAACUGUUCAUACGUUGACGGUAUUUAACCAGAAAGUCACGGCUAACUACGUGCCAGCAGCCGCGGUAAUACGUAGGUGGCAAGCGUUAUCCGGAUUUAUUGGGCGUAAAGAGAGUGCAGGCGGUUUUCUAAGUCUGAUGUGAAAGCCUUCGGCUUAACCGGAGAAGUGCAUCGGAAACUGGAUAACUUGAGUGCAGAAGAGGGUAGUGGAACUCCAUGUGUAGCGGUGGAAUGCGUAGAUAUAUGGAAGAACACCAGUGGCGAAGGCGGCUACCUGGUCUGCAACUGACGCUGAGACUCGAAAGCAUGGGUAGCGAACAGGAUUAGAUACCCUGGUAGGAUAGCG
rnacentral:rRNA from 1 species